UCCACUGAAUUGUGUUUAGAAGGAAAAGAAUAAGAAUAAAAGUCAGAACCACAUUUUGAUGUAUCAGAAGGGUAAGAUUUCAGGGCCAGCCAACAUGGCGGAAAAGUAGGGGGAUCCAUACUUCCCAUGUCUCUCAAACAGACAGUCUAGAAGGAAAAGAGACAGGAGUCUAACAAGGAGACACUGGGACAACCUGACGGGCUGUAGGUGGGUGAUUGUGAACUGGGGGAGAUAAAACGGGCCGUGUAGGCAUGGAGAGGAAGGAUCCUCUUCUGCAGAGAGACAAAGGGAAGAAGAGAAAGAGUAGCUGGGGAAGUGUAGGACUGUAUCUAGACAAGAGAAAAACCGACCAGGAUGGAGAGGGAUCCCAUCUCUAACUCUGGGGCCUUCGUACUGGGGCCAGCUGCCCUGUUUCUGCACCUGGGGAGGAGGGGAGCCACCGCCGGGUUCGGGGGCAGGUCAGGGACGCAGUCCACAGUAGGAGAAAGCAGUCCUCUCCCUGAAGUACUGUGGCACAGGACAAAACCAGCUGGGACAACAUAGGUGCUUCCCCAGGGCUGGGGCGCAUGGAGCGGGAGUUUAAAUCCCAGCCAAGUACCAGGGCAUGGAAGUUGGCAGAGCGAGACAGACCUCCUCAUCUGUGCCCACAGCACAGCGAGGACGGCGCAGUGAUUUGGGACACCAGUCAGUGGAGAAGAGGCUGGGAGGUCGCCAUUUUUCUCCCCACCACGACCAAGGUGGGGCCUCAGGGAUGGGUCCCUGGGGCCCACAGUGGAGGUGGGACCCGCCUACACCAAACCACACCCCUUCAUGCCAGCUACUUCAAGGGACAAAUCAAAGCACACCUGGUGGAGGGUCCAAAACAUCACUACAAGUAGGGAAAUAAAAUAACCAAAGUUACAACAACAGAGAGCAAGUAACUCUCCAAAACACACCUCCUGAAGGGCCAGGCCCUGGACAGUGUAUGACCUCCUCUUUAAUAAAGCAGUGCUCACAGGUGCAGAGCACAUAACAAGCUUUUAAAACUCACAAGGGAUAGAAAACUAGCCAAAAUGACGAAACGGAAGAAUUCUCCUCAAAUUCCAGGAAGGAGUGGCCACUAAAGAAUUGAUCAAAACAGAUAUAAGCAAUAUAAAUGAACAAGAAUUUAGAAAAAUAGUCAUAAGAUUAAUCACUGGGCUUGAAAAAGGCAUAGAAGACAGCAGAGAAGCUACUGAUGCAGAAAUCAAGGAACUAAAAAAUAGUCAUGAUGAAUUGAAAAAUGCUAUAAAUGAGGUGCAAAAUGGAAGUGGUCACAGCAUGGAUUGAAGAGGCAGAGGAGAGAAGAGGUGAAUUAGAAGAUAACAUGGAAAAAGAGGAAGCUAAGAGAUUAAAAAAAAAAAGUCCAGGAUCACCAGUGGAGAAUUAGAGAACUAAAUAAUUCAAUCAAAUGGAACAAUAUCCAUAUCAUAGGAGUUCCAGAAGAAGGAGAGAGAGAGAAAGAAAGAGGCUGAAGGUGUACUUGAACAAAUCAGAGCUGAGAACUUUCCCAAUCCAGGGAAGGAAACAGACCUUGAAAUCCAAGAGGCACAGAGAACUCCCUUCAGAUGUAACUUGAAUCAAUUUACUGCACGACAUAGCAUAAUGAAACUGGCAAAAUACAAGGAUAAAGAGAAAAUUCUGAAAGCAGCUAGGGAUAAACAGGUCUUAACAUACAAAGGUAGACACAUAAGGGUAGUAGCAGACCUAUCUACUAGAACUUGGCAGACCAGAAAGGAAUGGCAGGAGAUCUUCAAUGUGAUGAACAGGAAAAAUAUGCAACCAGUAAUCCUUUAUCCAGCAAGCCUGUCAUUCAGAAUAGAAGGAGAGAUAAAGGUCUUCCCAAACAAAAACUGAAGGAAUUCAUCCAUCACAACUAAAUCAGCUCUACAAGAGAUCCUAAGGGGGAUUCUGUGAGUGAAAUGUUACAAGGACCACAAAGUACCAGAGACAUCACUACAACCAUGAAACCUACAGAUAACACAGUGACUCUAAACCCCGAUCUUUCAAUAAUAACACUGAAUGUAAAUGGACUAAAUGCUCCAAUCAAAAGACAGAGGGUAUCAAAAUGGAUUAAAAAAUAAGACCCAUCUAUUUCCUGUCUACAAGAGACCCAUUUUAGACCUGAGGACACCUUCAGAUUGAAAGUGAGGUGUUGGAGAACUAUCUAUCAUGUACUGGAAGUCAAAAGAAAGCUGGAAAAGCCAUACUUAUUUCAGAAAAACUAGACUUUAAAGUCCGCAACAAGAGAUGAAGAAUGGCAUUAUAUAAUAAUUAUGGGGUCUAUCCAGCAGGAAGAGCUAACAAUUACAAAUAUCUAUGCACUGAAUUCGGGAACACCCAAAUACAUAAAACAAUCACAAACAUAAGUAAUCUUACUGGUAAGAAUGUGUUAAUUGUAGGGGACUUUAAUACUGCACUUAUAACAAUGGACAGAUCAUCUAGACAGAAAAUCAGUAAAGAAACAAUGGCCCUGAAUGAAACACUGGACCAGAUGGACUUGACAGAUAUACUUAGAACUCUACAUCCUGAAGCAGCAGAAUAUACUUUCUUCUUGAGUGCACAUGGAACAUUCUCCAAGCUAGAUCACAUUCUGGGUUACAAAACAGCCCUCAAUAAAUAUAAAAAAAUUGAGAUCAUACCAUUCACACUUCCAGAUCACAAUGCUAUGAAAAUUGAAAUCAACCACAGGAAAAAGUCUGGAAAAUCUCCGAAAGCAUGGAGGUUAAAUAACAUCCUACUAAAGAAUGAAUGGGUCAACCAGGCAUUUAGAGAAAAAAUACAUGGAAACAAAUGAAAACGAAAGCACAACAAUCCAAACCCUUUGGGAUGCAGCAAAGGCAGUCCUAAGAGGAAAAUGGCCUAUCCCAAGAAAUAAGAAAAAUCCCAAAUACAAAAUCUAACUGCACACCUAAAGGAACUAGAAGCAGAACAGCAAAGACACCUCAAAUCCAGCAGAAGAAGAGAAAUAAUAAAGAUCAGAGCAGAAAUAAACAAUAUAGAAUCUAAAAAAACUGCAGAGCAGAUCAAUGAAACCAAGAGUCGGUUUUUUGAAAAAAUAAAAUUGAUAAACCUCUAGCUAGGCUUCUCAAAAAGAAAAGGCAGAUGACCCAAAUAGAUAAAAUCAUGAAUGAAAAUGGAUGUAUUACAACCAAUGCCUCAGAAAUACAAGCAAUUUAUCAAGGAAUACUAUGAAAAAUUGUAUGCCAGCAAACUGGACAAACGGGAAGAAAUAGAAAAUUUGAACAGACCCAUAACUAGUGAAGAAACUGAAUCAGUUAUCAAAAAUCUCCCAACAAAUAAAGAGUCCUGGACCAGUUGGCUUCCCUGGGGAAUUCUACCAUACAUUCAACACAGAGUUGAUACCUAUCCUCAAGCUGUUCCAAAAAAUAGAAAUGGAAGGAAAACUUCGGGACUCAACUCAUUCUAUGAAGCCAGCAUUACUUUGAUUCCCAAACCAGACAGAAACCCAGCAAAAAAAGAGAACUACAGGCCAAUAUCCCUGCUGAAUAUGGAUGCAAAAAUUCUCAACAAGAUACUAGCAAGUCAAAUUCAACAGCAUAUAAAAAGAAUUAUUCACUAUGAUCAAGUGGAAUUCAUUCCUGGGCUGCAGGGCUGGUUCAAUAUUCACAAAUCAAUCAAUGUGAUACAUCACAUUAAUAGAAGAAAGGAAAAGAACCAUAUGAUCCUGUCAAUAGAUGCAGAAAAAGCAUUUGGCAAAAUACAGCAUCCUUUCUU